GUGGGAGCAUCUAAGGUGUCUCCGUUGCAGAACCACACUUUUGGGUGAUGAAGAGGCUAAAGACAAGGGCAACAUAUUCUCUACUAAACUGAAGGAAACAGAAUAAUCAAGAUGGUUGAGGCAGUUGUCUCCUUUACAGUUGAAAGGCUCUACGAACUUCUGAUUGAAGAGGUCAGAUUGUUAAAUGGGGUGAGUGACAAAGUCAGGGACAUGCAAAAUGAACUAAUGAGGAUGCAAUGCUUCUUAAGCGAUGCUGAGAGAAGGCAGGAUGAGAGUGAGAGUAUUAAGAAUUUGAUUUCAGAGAUCAGAAAAUUAGCUUAUGAUGCAGAGGAUGUGAUUGAAAUUUAUGCCGUCAAAGUUGCAUUUGACAUAAGUAUUGGAACUAAAAAUCCACUCUCCAAAGCUAAACAUCUUCGCAAAGCCGGAUCUGAUCUCAUGACAAUAAAUUCUCGAAUAAUUGACCUCACAAGAAGUUUACAAACUUAUGGUUUGACUGCAACAAGAGUCAAUGAAGAGAAUCGCUUUGCAUUUGAGACGCAACGACAAUUGAGAUGGUCUUAUUCUCAUAUAGUUGAAGAGUUCAUUGUUGGCUUAGAUGAAGACAUAAACAAAGUGGUGAAAUGGCUAGUAAAUGAAAAUCAGCAUUGUCGAGUUGUUUAUAUUUGUGGAAUGGGUGGUCUUGGUAAAACUACUCUUGCCAAAAGCAUUUAUCAUUACAAUGAUAUUAGGCGAAACUUUGAUGCUUUUGCUUGGGCCUAUAUAUCCCAACAAUGCAAGAAAAGAGAUGUCUGGGAGGGAAUUUUACUGAAGCUUACUUCCCCUUCCAAAGAGGAAAGGGAUGAGAUUUUGAAAUUGAAAGAUGAUGAAUUGGCAAGGAAAUUAUUUAAAGUCCAACAAGAUAAAAAAUGUUUAAUCAUCCUGGAUGACAUAUGGAGCAAUGAAGAUUGGGACAUUCUAAGUCCAGCUUUUCCAUCAGAAAAUACAAGGAGUAAGAUUGUGUUUACAUCCCGCAACAAAGACAUUUUGCGUGUAGAUCCUAAUGGCUUGCUUCACGAACCUAGAUGCUUAAAUGCAAAGGAUAGUUGGGCAUUGUUUCACAAGAAAGCUUUUCCAAGACAAUAUAAUUCAGAAUCCACAACUUUCGAUGAGUUUAAAAGAUUAGUGAAAGAAAUGGUUACCAAGUGUGCUGGUCUGCCAUUGGCUAUCGUCGUUCUUGGAGGGCUUUUGGCUACAAAAGAGACAGUCAAUGAGUGGGAAACAAUACAUAGGUACCUAAGUUCAUACCUAAUAGGAGGAGAGGUACAUGAAAGGCGAAGAUUAGCUGAAGUAUUGGAUUUAAGUUACCAGGACUUGCCUGUUCAACUGAAACCAUGUUUUCUCUAUUUAAGUCAAUUCCCUGAAGACUCUGAGAUACCAAGAACUAAACUAAUUCAGUUAUGGGUAGCAGAAGGUGUUGUUUCAUCUCGAUAUGAGAUUGAACGAAAUGAGACAAUGGAGGAUGUUGCUGAACGCUACUUAAGUAACUUAAUUAGCCGCUGCAUGGUUCAAGUUGGUCAGAUGGGGUCUACUGGUAGAAUUAAAACCUGUCGGCUCCAUGAUUUAAUGCGUGAUCUGUGUUUGUCAAAGGCCAAAAAAGAAAAUUUUCUCUACAUUAUUGGUGGAUCACAACAAAAUGUUACCACUGAUGUUGCUUCUUUGUCUAAUGUAUCAGAUGCAAGGCAAAUUGAUGUAGUUCGUAGGCUUGCUGUUUUCUUGGAUCAACGUGUUGAACAAUUGAUUCCACAGGACAAACAAGUGAAAGAACACCUCAGGUCCCUUGUCUUUUUUCACGACAAGAAAUGUAGGAUGGAAAAUUGGGACCUUGUCAAAGGUAUUUUUGUGAGGUUCAAAUUACUUAGACUUCUAGACCUUGAAGGAAUUAAGGGGCUGAAGGGACAGUCAUUGCCUAAAGAAGUGGGGGAUCUUUUAUGGUUGAAGUUUCUUAGUCUAAAAAGGACUCGUAUACAAAUACUGCCAUCUUCCUUGGGCAAUUUGGAGAAUUUGCAAUUCCUGAAUCUGCAAACUGUAAACAAAGUGAGCUGGGAUUCAACUGUGGAAAUUCCAAAUGUAAUAUGGAAGUUGAAACGGUUGAGACAUCUAUAUCUUCCCAAUUGGUGUGGGAAUGUUGCUAACAACCUGCAACUGGAAAAUCUGAUCAAUUUACAGACAUUAGUGAAUUUUCCUGCCAGCAAAUGUGAUGUGAAAGAUCUAUUGAAGUUGAAAAAUCUCAGAAAAUUAGUAUUGAAUGACCCAAGACAUUUUGAGAAGUUUAGUGAAUGUUUCAGUCCCCCUAAUAAAAGGUUGGACCGCCUUCUAUCCUUGUCUUUAAAGACUGACAUGCUUUCCUUCCCUGAUAAUGUAGUUGAUCUUGAAAAAUUGGUGCUUGGCUGCCCUUCCCUCCAUAAACUGCAGAUAGAAGGGCGAAUGGAAAGGUUGCCAGAAGCUUCACUGUUUCCGACACAGCUUUCAAAGUUGACUUUAUGGGGUUGUAGACUUGUGCAAGAUCCAAUGGCAACAUUAGAGAAGCUUCCUAACUUGAAGUUUCUAAAUGGGUGGGAUAUGUUUAUUGGAAAGAAAAUGGUAUGCUCUCAAAAUGGUUUUCCUCUAUUGAAGGUUCUAGUACUUCGUGGCUUGUCUAAUUUAGAUGAGUGGGCAAUAGAGAAUAAAGCCAUGCCUAGUCUUCACCGAUUGAGCAUAUCUGAUUGCAACAAUUUAAAGAGGGUUCCUGAUGGACUUAGAUUUAUUGCUAGUCUUCGGGAGCUAGAAAUCAGAUGGAUGCCAAAAUCAUUCAAGACCAGGCUUGGAACUACUGGAGAGGAUUAUCACAAAGUCCAACACGUGCCAUCUAUUGUAUUUUUGAACUAAGGAUGUAAGUUGAAAAGAUUAACUACCACAUUGAACUCACUUUCUCAAAAUUCAUUGUUAUUAGCUUUCCAUUGUGAACAAAUAGGUGUUUUCCUUUACUCUUGUGCUUUCGAAGCUGAAGUUGUAAACCUGUAAAGCCUGAACUUUUAAAGGACGUACCUUUGUUUGUACCUGGUAUUUGUUUGCACGGUGCCUUGAUGGAUUCAGUUGUAUUUAUUUGUUGACUUUAUAUUUGCAAUAUUUUUUGUUGAAUACUUUUGAGUGAAUUUCGGAACUUCUAACUCCUAGUGAGAAAAGUUUGGUGGUGGUUGUAUUAUUACAAACUUGUAACAAACUAACAACAAUGAUUUGUGUUUUCAUAUUGUAUUUAAUAAUUACGAUUUGUUCACACAGUACA